AUAGUUUUUUUUAGUAAUUUCUUACAGGCAUUAUAUUCCAUCCAUACCUAGUUUCUUAUAACAUUUUUUAUAAUAUUUUUAUCUAACCUUCAAAUGUUCAACCAUGUGUUUGGUUUCUAUAUUUCUUUUCAUCUAUUAAUAUGCACGUUUAGUAAUCAGAAUUUUAACUAUUCUCAUCUAGAUUCUAUGUAAUUUACCCUUGCCAAUUACUAUUUCUGAAUACUAUUUGGCAAAGGUAUAUUUUGGUUUUUCUUCUUGAUGAUUGAUAUGUGUCUCUGUUUUAUAGUUUUUUGGAAAGAGAUCAACCUUUCCCUCUUCGGGAACUUAAGCCUCACAUCACCGGUGAUGCACACUUGAAGGCAAAGACAAUGACAUCCAGACUGCACAACCACCACCUCUAGCUGCAGGGGCCUUGCGCCGAAGAUCCGCCCAGGCCUACGAGAAGUCUACAACAGCAGUACCAUACGACAUCAAGAAGAUACCAUCAGCUACCAAAAGCCAUAAGUAUAAUCCAGAAUUGUUAGUUUUUGGCAAGAAUUGAAAUACAUUUGUUAAUGCAAUUUACUAAGUCAUUUUAUUUAUUAUAUCUUUAUGAACAAUAAACAUGAUUAGUUAAAAACUAUGUUUUGUUUGCUUCCAUUCCAAUUUUCAGAGUUCAUUCUAAGGUUAGGACAAGACGAACACACACCUGAGUGACUGAGCUAAGCCAAGGGUGUAGUGAUGGCUAUCUUGGUUAGUUGAGGUAAUAUUUUCGAAUAUUGUUUCAAUUAGCUGGGGUAGUCCAUCGAUAACUCGUUACACUGGCGCCCAACGCACUUGUCUUAUCUGAAGAAUAGAACGUUGAAUUUUGGUUUGGUGCAAGCAUACAAGCAUUAAUAAAUACUAUUUUCACAUAUUUCAUUUUAUAUUCAAGUUUUGCAGUAAAUCUAUAUAUAUAUUACCUAUUUUGGUACUUUUUGACUAAUUUUUAUAUAUUAAACGCUAAUUUCAGAUUAUGGGUCAAAAAAGUAUUACCAGUUACAAUAAUUUAAUUAUAUAUUUCAGCAUAAUUGCUUUAAAAUACAUUUAAAGUUGCAAAUAUUGGUAUUUUUAACAUUUGGAAUUUUUUACCUAGUUUUUUUUGCUAAUUUUUAUGUUAGGACCUUGAUAGUAAUGUCCACAUGGUGUUUUUUCUGUUUUUUUUUCAAUUUAACCAGUUUUUUUUUGGUAGUUCUUCUUUAAUUACUUUCAUAUUUUGUUGUAACUUUCCAAAACCCAAGAGAAUUUUUCCAUUUAUUGUCAUAUUUUCUGUACUUUUUAUACGUACUAUUUCUUCUGCGUUCUUUUCAUAGGUACUUCUGUGUACUCUAAAGUGCUUAAAUCUUGUUUUAUUACUUAUUUUCAAUUACUUUUUACUUAUUCUUAUUUUUCCUAGUUGUUCUCAUAUAUUUAUUACCAAUUUUGUACAACUACCAAAAAUUUUGUUGUUUCCGUCGAACUUUCUGUUCGGAUGGUAUAUACUACUUUACUUGUAUAGUAAAGACUAGGACAAUUUUCAAGUUCUUUUCUUUCAUUGAGGUAUUUUAUUCUUAUUCUUCUUCUUUACGUAUUCAGAAUAUUAAUUUAAACCAUUCUUCUUCUUGUCUUGAAUCUCAAAAAAAUUUUUGUUCGUAAAGCAUGAUAUUUUACAUUUUUCAAUUUUAUGCGUUAUUGCACUUAUAUUAAUUAUGAUAAACAUUAUAUUUAACAUCUUUUUUAUUUAACAAUGCCCUAUUUAUCUAUAUAUUAUUGUUUUAUUAUUUUAUUUUGGGUGUUGUACUGAUUUUUGAUACAGAUUAGCAUGAAAGCCUCAUCCGGCACUUAUAAGUUGUGUAUGGCUUAUAUAUAGCUGCAUAGACACCUAGUGUUUUUUUUUCCUAGGGUACAUAUAAGUUAUCCAUAGGGUUGGGCCAGAUCUAUUGAGUCUGAGUUCCGUUUUUUUGGUCUUAAUGACUGUUGAUAUACAGUUUAAUGCUGUAUAUUAUUUUUAGGAUGAUGUCUUUUAUAAAUUUUUUCUUUUGGAGUUCAAACAAUUCUAUGCAUAUCUACUUUUAGAAAUCUGGUGUAGAAUUGUGGCGCUUUGAAGUAUGAUUGUAGUUUAGCUACUAGCAUUUGUUAUUUUCCAUCUUUGCAAAUCAUAUUUAUGCAUUUUUAUACAUAUAUUUUGUUCUUUAGUGUAGAUCCCUGGUAUGCAUUUGAUGGAAGUAGCAUUUGCAUUAUGUAUCAUUAUCUCUCUCUCUCUCUCUUUAUUAACUUAUUGGUUAAGUCUUUUAGGACUGGUUUUAUGCAGUUUUUUUAAACCCUUUGGUGUAGAACUUUGUCUUAUUUGGCUUUCCAUGUAGUUGGUACUUAUUUUUUUUUAAUAGUUUAUCUAUAGUUGCACUUGCAUUUCUUUUUAUUAUAUUAUAUUUAUAUUAUCUUUGUCUACUAAUAUGCUUUUACUUAAGUACCUUGUUAUAUUGAUUAUUAUAUUAUUACCUUACUUUAGAUACUCGUUAUCCGAGUACUUGUUAUUUUGUUCGAGAUUCACUUCUUAGUAGCUCCACUAGCUAUUUAUUUAUUGUAUUUAGGAUGUGAUAUCCAUUAUAUUUACUUUUUGAUUAUAUGUCUUUUAUAUUAUAUAAAUACCUGAAUAUUUGCAAUUCAUUUUAAUAAAUAACAACAUUAUUUGGCUUAGGUCAACUUAUUUACCUUUAAUUAUUACUUUCUUGGAUUUUUAGUUGAAUUUGAUUAAUACUUACACUUUAUAUUAUAAGUCUUUAUAAUUUUAAAUUAAUUACAUAUUUUUAAAGUACAUUUAUUUUUUUCCAGAGAUAGAUAUUCUCUGAUGUCAUUUAUUUAUAAUAAAUAAAUAUUUUAUAGUGUGAUGAAUACUACAAUUCAUUGGGUAAUAUUUUUAUUUUCCCCAGAGUAACAUCUGAAAAUUAUUUUGGUACUUUAAAAUUUUUUAUGAUUAAUAAUUUAAAUUAACUAUAUACAUUGACUUAAUGAUUACUUUAUUAUCAGUAUUUAUUUUUGAUUUGUUUUGAACUAUUACUACUGCAUAUAUUUAUUUCUGGUUAGAACUUUGAUUUCUUGUUUUCCUUGAGAAAAAUUUCUCACCUGUGUUCGAAAUUUUUCUGAUGAGUGGAGGGAGUGUGUAACAUUCCUGUUUUCUGUGAGAAAAAUUUCUCACGUGUGUUCAAAAUUUUUCUGAUGGGUGAGAGGAGUGUGUAACGUUACAAACGUCACAUCUUUGAUAUUUUAUUUUUAAAUAAUUAUUUUAUCUUAUUUUCUUUAAUAUUUCAUUAAUCAUUAUCUUCUUCUAUUUGGUUUACCCAUUUUCCCCUUUAAUAAAAAUCGGUUGGCGCUCGUUCUGUAAUAGGCAACCCUAUUUACAUUGUAUCAUCUCUUGUGUUCCAUGUUCGUGAUUUCAAAUUUCGUCCAAGGUUCGUUGUCAUGUCAUUUUAAUGACAAUGACAACCCCCAUAUCUCAUUCUCAAAAUGGAGGUGGAAAUGUUUUAAAAGGCAGAGCAGCUUGAAAAAUAAAUCAUUUUAUUUCAACAAAUCAUCUUCCUCUUGGGUUUUUUGGAAAGAGAUCAACCUUUCCCUCUUCGGGAACUUAAGCCUCACAUCACCGGUGAUGCACACUUGAAGGCAAAGACAAUGACAUCCAGACUGCACAACCACCACCUCUAGCUGCAGGGGCCUUGCGCCGAAGAUCCGCCCAGGCCUACGAGAAGUCUACAACAGCAGUACCAUACGACAUCAAGAAGAUACCAUCAGCUACCAAAAGCCAUAAGUAUAAUCCAGAAUUGUUAGUUUUUGGCAAGAAUUGAAAUACAUUUGUUAAUGCAAUUUACUAAGUCAUUUUAUUUAUUAUAUCUUUAUGAACAAUAAACAUGAUUAGUUAAAAA
rnacentral:lncRNA from 1 species